AGCAGCCGCGGUAAUUCCAGCUCCAAUAGCGUAUAUUAAAGUUGUUGCAGUUAAAAAGCUCGUAGUUGAAUUUCGGGAUCAAUUAAUUGGUCGUGCCUCUGGUACGUAUUGAUUUUAUUGGUUUCUCCCUUCUGACGAACCAUGAUGUCAUUAAUUUGGUGUCGUGGAGAAUCAGGACUGUUACUUUGAAAAAAUUAGAGUGUUUAAAGCAAGCUAACGCUUGAAUACAUUAGCAUGGAAUAAUGAAAUAGGACGUUUGAUCCUAUUUUGUUGGUUUCUAGGAUCGACGUAAUGAUUAAUAGGGAUAGUUGGGGGCAUUAGUAUUCAAUUGUCAGAGGUGAAAUUCUUGGAUUUAUUGAAGACUAACUACUGCGAAAGCAUUUGCCAAGGAUGUUUUCAUUAAUCAAGAACGAAAGUUAGGGGAUCGAAGACGAUCAGAUACCGUCGUAGUCUUAACCAUAAACUAUGCCGACUAGGGAUCGGAUGAUGUUAAUUUUUUAAUGACUCAUUCGGCGCCUUA
rnacentral:misc_RNA from 1 species